CUCCGAUGAUGAUCCCGCCAUGCUAAUACUGAUGCAUCAGACAGACACAUGGUCAAUCUGGGUGCAAAUGAGUUAAACUCACCUUCUCAUACUGACUGUCAGUGUGGGCUGAGGAGA
ensembl:snoRNA